rnacentral:rRNA from 1 species
GACGAACGCUGGCGGCGUGCUUAACACAUGCAAGUCGAACGAAGAGCGAUGGAAGCUUGCUUCUAUCACUCUUAGUGGCGAACGGGUGAGUAACGCGUAAUCAACCUGCCCUUCAGAGGGGGACAACAGUUGGAAACGACUGCUAAUACCGCAUACGAUCUAACUUCGGCAUCGAGGAAAGAUGAAAGGUGGCUUGUAUGUAUAAGCUAUCACUGCAGGAGGGGAGUGCGGUUGAUUAGGUAGUUGGGGGGGUACAGGGCGACCAAGGGGAUGAUCAGUAGCCGGUCGGAGAGGAGGGACGGCCACAUUGGGACUGGGGCACGGCCCAAACUCCUAAGGGCGGCAGCAGUGGGGAAUCUUCCGCAAUGGACGAAAGUCUGACGGAGCAACGCCGCGUGAGUGAUGACGGCCUUCGGGUUGUAAAGCUCUGUUAAUCGGGGCGAAAGGCCUUCUUGCGAAUAGUGAGAAGGAUUGACGGUACCGGAAUAGAAAGCCACGGCUAACUACGUG